GUUAGUGGCGGACGGGUGAGUAACGCGUGGGUAACCUGCCUUGUACUGGGGGACAACAGUUGGAAACGACUGCUAAUACCGCAUAAGACCACAGCACCGCAUGGUGCAGGGGUAAAAACUCCGGUGGUACAGGAUGGACCCGCGUCUGAUUAGCUGGUUGGUGAGGUAACGGCUCACCAAGGCGACGAUCAGUAGCCGGACUGAGAGGUUGAACGGCCACAUUGGGACUGAGACACGGCCCAGACUCCUACGGGAGGCAGCAUG
rnacentral:rRNA from 1 species